AUGAAUCACCAAGUGAGAUGUGGCCCAAAUUAAAAGAGGAGUUCCCAGGUAUCAGGAAGCCUGGUCCUUGAACUUAACUGAGAUCUUACUGUUUAAUUGCUCUGUUUAAGAAAAUAAGAUUAUGUUUAUUUCAAAGGUAACCUCAGCACUUCCACGGAUUUUGCAAUACUGCACUAACGGAUGGGGGCUUAGAACAAAAGCACAAGAGCAGAUUCAGUCAUUCUGAAUUCAACCCUGCAUCUACGCAGAGACUCUUGUAACAUAAAGAAAAUCCCUGCUGAGACAAUCUUCUACUUAUUUAUUUCAGGAUCAUAUGAGCAAGCAGAGAAUGUCCUAAGCUUUGUUCCUAGCACCCAGGUUGACAAGCUGUCCAGAGUCAGAAUAACCCUGGCCUCAUACUUCUUGCUACCGUCUCCUGCUGAGUGUAAAAUAUGGCUGUCUUGCAGUUUGAAUAAGGCUUUUAAUAUGCCAUGGGAUGUCACGGUCCACAGAAAUGGAAUACAGUGUUCUGCUUGCUGUGAAAUAGAAAAAAAGCUAACCAAACUGGUUCCUUCCUCCUGAGUACAUAGUGACUGAUUUGAAGUUCAGUCACUGAGACUAAAAGUAUCAGCCUUGAUCACAAAAAGAAAAAAGCACUUGACAGAUGGAUUUAGUCUUCCCUCAGCAUGAACAUCUAUUUGCCGCUAAAAGUUUGGUUAGUAUAUUGAAGCCGAAUAAUGGGAUCUCUUCUCUUAAUCCAUCAUUAACAGACUGUGGCAUGAGGCGGAUAUUAUUUCUUUGAAUUGAGCUCUCUGGGGGGAAUGUUCAGUGCUCUGGUAGAAAUCAUGCUAUUUGGAAGGGUGUACAUGGCUGGGGGAAAAGAAAAGUUUAUUUGAGAAUAUAAAGAGAAAUAACUCUUAACAGCAGGGCUUUUUUCCACUGCAUGGCUACAUUUACUGGAGCUGAAGUGCUGACUCCCUGUCCUCACACACACAAAUACAAACACAGAUUGCUCUGAUGAGACCAGUCAGUGCUUUGUGUGAUGCUGCAAAUAAAUACUAGUGAAUAUAGAAGUGCUACAGGAACAGCAAACACAGAGUGUGACAUCAACAUCUCCAGUGUCGCUGGGUAUUCCUACAGAUUUCUCACCACCUUUCCUCACCCUCUUCCUGAUGCAGUGCUGCAGAGCAAGACGGGAUGUGAGACAGGUAAGUGCCUUGUUCUGUCCAGCCCCAGUGAAAGGGCUGACCAGGGUCACAGCCAUUAGUUGAUGAUGAGAUUUCAGAAGCAAAGUCAACACACAUUGCCUUGUGUAAAAUCCUGUUCAGUGGACACAAAACUGGCUUGGAAAAUCCAUAGUGAAGCUGGAGACCAUGUGUGCAAGUGUUGAAGUAUGCUGCAGAGCAGGCGAGACAGCUUAAAGAUAUUUUCUGGAAAUCUUUGCUCUCUAUCACUGCCUGUACUAAGAAAGUCUUUGCCAUGGCCCUGAUUUUGAGGAUGAUAGUGCUUUUCACUAUUUUCUGACUUCGAAGCCAACACAGAGCUGUGUUCUCUUUCAAGCCCUACAGUGUGCUGUUUUACCAUGUUGGACUCAACUAAGGCGACUGUCCAAUUUUAAUAGAUGUAUUUUCCACAGGAAAUUAAUGUAUUGUUUCCCCAAAGCUAUUUCAGUCAGUAAACUUCACUGCAGCCUGACCAAGUCGCACGUUACUUCAGCCAGCCAGAUGAAUUGGGUGCCGUUGUUCGGUCCUCUGACUAGUUUUGGCCAAGAGAGUUGUGACAGCCUCAGGCUGCCAGCUACCAGGUGACAGCUCGCAGCACGGUCUGGUAGCCAAACAUCCCUGUGUGUUGUUUUUGUUUGUUUGUUUCUCAAGGAAAACUGUGUAUAGAGAUUAAUUGUUAAUUAAUAAUAAUUAAUUGUUGUGUUGCUUCUUUGACUAUCUAUAGUAUAUAUAAUUGUAUAGUAUGUAGAUAGGACAUAUAUGGUAGUAUGUAUAUCAUAGUGCCAGGGUAUGGGAUGUGGAGUAUAUGCUCUGCAUUUGAUUGUAGAUAUCUAUAUUUUAUAUAGUCUUUUCAGUAGAUUUUCAAUUAUUAUUUCUUUCUCUUCUCCAGGAGGUACUGCAAAAAUGAGAGUGAAGGCUCAGCUUCACCUCUCUGGAGAUAAAACCUUGCAAGCAGCCACGAUCCCUUCCCCGAGCCUCUCUCUGUCACGAUGACAAGCAGCUCACUGCUGUCAGGCCCGUGUAGGAAAUCCACACAGCGACACGGAGAAUGUUUAUUGUGGAGGGAGAACUUUUGCCCUGUGAAGUCACCUCCUACCAGUCACCAGAACUAUUUAGAAGGUGAACACCAGCAUUGUGCCAGCCUGCAGUGGCUGCACCAGGUUAUUGCAACCCCAGAGCACGUAGUCUCCAGACCUACAAGCAAGGGAAUAUAAAGCUGUUUUCAGAGGGUGCCCAUGUGACUGAGAAAGCAUAUGCACAGUUUUUAAAAAGUGGCUUACUGAGAGAUGAUGGACUCGGCAGAACCUGCAGAGAAAUCAGAUGGGCAUUUUUGAAAACUGUGCCCCUUAUUUUAAAAGAAAGGAAAACGUGAGGCAAUCGCAGCUGAUUCAGCAUCCGGCAGUCUCAGCCAAGUCAUAUUUUACCUCUUCCCUUCCCUCCCCGCACAAAACUUCCAGGAAAACCUGCAAAGAAAAGGCAUAUGUGGGUAGGAGGAGACCUGCUUUUAAUUUCUGUACCUCCUAUUCAACACAAUGCCACACAAUGCACAGGAUGCGAAUAUCCCAAGGCACCUUAUACAAUACAAGUAACAAAAGCACACACACAUGCGCAAGAAAGGGGGGAGAAGCAAGCAUGACAGAGCUACAAAGCAAAGUACAGGUAGAGCUGUCUUUAAAGUGCUUACAUGGAGGAGCUACACGAAAAACUCAUCUCUAGAAAGGAGAAGUUGGGGACUGGAGAAAUAUUCCAGUGAUUGCAAAAAUUGGAUUUCCAUUUCAAAACAUGAUUUAUCAGUUUUUCUCUGUUGUUUUGAAUAUAGUGGCCAGAUCUUUAAGGCCCCUUCCAACCCAAACCAUUCUAUGAUUCUGUGAGACUGUGAUCUUCAUUACCAACAGAGGAGGACUCUAGUGCAACAUGUCCUCAGUGCAAUGUCCACUGAUGCUCCUAUGGUAUUGUCUAUAGAGCAACCUGAAGCCAGCACCGAGUCACAUAAAGGCUGCAACGAUAGCCUGCAGAAAUUGCUGUGGUUAGAAGUAUAUAACAGGUAUAACUGUUUUGGCUAUCAAGGGGUGAGUGUAUGUAGGAGGUGCUGACUCCCACAGAAACACCACCUCACCUGACUAAAAGAGAUCCUUCAGGGGACAGGACUGCAACCACCAUCCUGGUAAAGUGCUGCAAAGUGUUUAGAGCAACGCCCAGCAUUAAGGCUGCUGUCAGCACUAAAUGCAUCAGAGCCUGAUCAAAGAAAUCUAGGGUUUCUUGCAGCCUCUUGCUGAGGCACUGCUCUGCAUUUCCAUGAGAAUGACAGUGCUGUGGGUGAAGCACCUGGAGCCUCCUCGCCUGGCCAGCUCUCAGCUCAGGCACAAUUCACUCAAAUUUUGUGAGCUCACAAAAUCCAUGAAGGAGACACGAUUUCUGAGCAAGCCACUCUUCAACAUUUGUCUGGAGUUGCCAUGAGAGUUUUACAGCAAGAAUGUAUGCUGUUAUCAGAUAGGAACAAUAGAAAAAAAAA